CUACGUGCCAGCAGCCGCGGUAAUACGGAAGGUCCGGGCGUUAUCCGGAUUUAUUGGGUUUAAAGGGAGUGUAGGCGGUCUGUUAAGCGUGUUGUGAAAUUUAGGUGCUCAACAUUUAACUUGCAGCGCGAACUGUCAGACUUGAGUACACGCAGCGCAGGCGGAAUUCAUGGUGUAGCGGUGAAAUGCUUAGAUAUCAUGAAGAACUCCGAUUGCGAAGGCAGCAUACGGGAGUGUAACUGACGCUUAAGCUCGAAGGUGCGGGUAUCGAACAGGAUUAGAUACCCUGGUAGUCCGCACAGUAAACGAUGGAUGCCCGCUGUUAGCGCCUGGCGUUAGCGGCUAAGCGAAAGCAUUAAGCAUCCCACCUGGGGAGUACGCCGGCAACGGUGAAACUCAAAGGAAUUGACAGGGGCCCGCACAAGCGGAGGAACAUGUGGUUUAAUUCGAUGAUACGCGAGGAACCUUACCCGGGCUUGAAUUGCAGAGGAAUUAUUUAGAGAUA
rnacentral:rRNA from 1 species